CCCUUAGAUGGUCUGCGCGGCACGCGCGCUGCAAUGAUGCAUCCAAAAAGUUUUCUGACCUUGUUGGGUACUUUCCAAAGUGCAUCGUGAUGGGAAGAGUUUACUGCAGUUUUUUAAUCUUGAACGAGGAGUUCCUCGUAAGUACAUGUCAUCAACCUGUGUUGAUUACGUCCCUGCCCUUUGUACACACCGCCCGUCGCUCCUACUGAUUGAGCGUCUCGGUGAAUUCUUUGAUUUUCUGUCGAUUCAGUUCACUGAUCCGACGGUGGAUAGUUGAAUGAACUUCGUCACGUAGAGGAAGGAGAAGUCGUAACA
rnacentral:rRNA from 1 species